GAGUUUGAUCCUGGCUCAGAUUGAACGCUGGCGGCAUGCCUUACACAUGCAAGUCGAACGGCAGCAUGAUCUAGCUUGCUAGAUUGAUGGCGAGUGGCGAACGGGUGAGUAAUACAUCGGAACGUGCCCUGUAGUGGGGGAUAACUAGUCGAAAGAUUAGCUAAUACCGCAUACGACCUGAGGGUGAAAGUGGGGGACCGCAAGGCCUCAUGCUAUAGGAGCGGCCGAUGUYUGAUUAGCUAGUUGGUGGGGUAAAGGCCCACCAAGGCGACGAUCAGUAGCUGGUYUGAGAGGACGAUCAGCCACACUGGGACUGAGACACGGCCCAGACUCCUACGGGAGGCAGCAGUGGGGAAUUUUGGACAAUGGGCGAAAGCCUGAUCCAGCAAUGCCGCGUGUGUGAAGAAGGCCUUMGGGKUGUAAAGCACUUUUGUCCGGAAAGAAAUGGCCUCUGGUUAAUACCUGGGGUCGAUGAACCGGUACCGGAAGGAUUUGG
rnacentral:rRNA from 1 species